rnacentral:rRNA from 1 species
UACGGAGGAGGCAAGUGUUAUCCGGAAUUAUUGGGCGUAAAGCGUGCGCAGGCGGUUUUGUAAGUCUGACGUGAAAGCCCCGGGCUCAACCUGGGAAUUGCGUUGGAGACUGCAAGGCUUGAAUCUGGCAGAGGGGGGUAGAAUUCCACGUGUAGCAGUGAAAUGCGUAGAUAUGUGGAGGAACACCGAUGGCGAAGGCAGCCCCCUGGGUUAACACUGACGCUCAUGCACGAAAGCGUGGGGAGCAAACAGG